GCGCUUAUGCAGCACAUAUAAUUGAAACCAUACAGAGAAGAUUAGCAUGGCACCUGCCCAAGAAUGACACGCAAGUUCGUUAAGUAUUCCAUGUAAGA
ensembl:snRNA U6 U6 spliceosomal RNA